GGUCCCACAUGGCAGUCACAUCAGGACAUGGCCCUGAAUCUUUGUUUUACAAUAUGAGAUAUAUUCAUUUGAAAAACAGGAAUAAUGAUGCAUUAUCCAUGUAUCAAAAGAUUAUUAUAUUAAGAAAACAUCUGUGAAAUCUCAUUUCAAAGUACUCCUCAAAGUGGGAAAAGAAGGGAGUACAGAGGCCAACCUUCAAUGUGGGCAGCUUGAAAAAUUUGACCAUUGUCACCAUCUGCUGCUGGGAGACCGGAUAAGGAUGGGAGAAGAGUUGGUAGCCCAUGUGCACACAUCCACUGACAGCUAGCUGGGCAGCAGUUCCAGUUGGAAUCAUGUCAUGUUGUGUGUUAUCCCUGCUGGGAACUGCAGAAGGCACUAUUUGAUGCUUCCUCCUGUUGUAUAUUUCUGGAGUGCCUACUAGUAUGAGUUGCUAGCAUCAGUUUUACCAAAGUGGAAAAUUUUCAGCCUAAUGUCCUUCUUAAAUUUGUGUUGAAUUAUACAUGUAUUUCAAGUGGCAACAUCUAAAGACAUCAAGUUUGCAACAAUAUGAA